ACUCCUACGGGAGGCAGCAGUGGGGAAUAUUGCACAAUGGGGGAAACCCUGAUGCAGCCAUGCCGCGUGUGUGAAGAAGGCCUUGGGUUGUAAAGCACUUUCAGUAGGGAGGAAGGUAGUGUAGUUAACACCUGCAUUAUUUGUACGUUACCUACAGAAGAAGCACCGGCUAACUCCGUGCCAGCAGCCGCGGUAAGUACGGAGGGUGCGAGCGUUAAUCGGAAUUACGUGGGCGUAAAGCGCAUGCAGGCGGCCUGUUAAGUCAGAUGUGAAAGCCCGGGGUCUUAACCUCGGAAUUGCAUUUGAAACUGGCAGGCUAGAGUCUUGUAGAGGGGUUAGAAUUUCAGGUGUAGCGGUGAAAUGCGUAGAGAUCUGAAGGAAUACCGAGUGGCGAA
rnacentral:rRNA from 1 species